GACGAACGCUGGCGGCGUGCUUAACACAUGCAAGUCGAACGGAAAGGCCCUGCUUUUGUGGGGCGCUCGAGUGGCGAACGGGUGAGUAACACGUGAGUAACCUGCCCCUGACUUUGGGAUAACUUCAGGAAACUGGGGCUAAUACCGGAUAGGAGCUCCUGCUGCAUGGUGGGGGGUGGAAAGUUUCGGCGGUUGGGGAUGGACUCGCGGCUCAUCAGCUUGUUGGUGGGGUAGUGGCUUACCAAGGCUUUGACGGGUAGCCGGCCUGGGAGGGUGACCGGCCACAUUGGGACUGAGAUACGGCCCAGACUCCUACGGGAGGCAGCAGUGGGGAAUAUUGCACAAUGGGCGGAAGCCUGAUGCAGCAACGCCGCGUGCGGGAUGACGGCCUUCGGGUUGUAAACCGCUUUCGCCUGUGACGAAGCGUGAGUGACGGUAAUGGGUAAAGAAGCACCGGCUAACUACGUG
rnacentral:rRNA from 1 species